GAUGGAAGAACGUAGCGAAAUGCGAUAAGUAAUGCGAAUUGCAGAAUUCCAGUGAGUCAUCGAAUCUUUGAACGCACAUUGCGCCCUUUGGUAUUCCGAAGGGCAUGCCUGUUCGAGCGUCAUUAUCACCCCUCAAGCCCUCGGCUUGGUGUUGGACGGUUUGGUGGAGGCCCCCUCGGGGGCUCCUGCCCCUCCCAAAGACAAUGACGGCGGCCUCGUUGGACCCCCGGUACACUGAGUUCUUCACGGGACACGUAUCGGACACAUGGGUUUACGGGACACGGUCUGCCUCCCCUCAGGGAGAAUCUUUCUAAGGUUGACCUCGGAUCAGGUAGGGAUACCCGCUGAACUUAAGCAUAUCAAUAAGCGGAGGA
rnacentral:misc_RNA from 1 species